UUGCAGCCAUAUCAUGUUGAAAUGCCGGUUCCAAUAUGAUCAUCAAAGUUAAGCAACAUCAAGCUUAGUCAGUACCUAGAUGGGUGACCACUUGUAAAUACCAGGUGCUGUAAG
rnacentral:rRNA from 1 species